CUUGUGAAAUCCAUAAAAUAAACUAAAAUUGAAAAGUUAGAAGAUUUUAAAAAACUACUGUAUCUACUAAUCGGUUGUUUCUCGUAAUCUUAACCUUCGGCAUAGGUAG
rnacentral:snRNA from 1 species